CGGGACGUGGCGCAGCUUGGUAGCGCACUUGACUGGGGGUCAAGGGGUCGUCGGUUCGAAUCCGGCCGUCCCGA
rfam:Micromonospora coxensis strain DSM 45161 genome assembly, chromosome: I